rnacentral:rRNA from 1 species
CCUACGGGGGGCAGCAGUGGGGAAUAUUGCACAAUGGGGAAAACCCUGAUGCAGCGACGCCGCGUGCAGGACGAAGUAUUUAGGUACGUACCCUUCUCUCCGCCGGGCCGACCCUGCCGGUCCCUGCCCAAGAAGCCCCGGCUAACUACGUGCCAGCAGCCGCGGUAAUCCGUCGGGGGCAAGCGUUCUCCGGAUUUCCUGGGUGUAAAGGGCGCGUCGCCGGCCCUGCCCGUCUGCU